rnacentral:rRNA from 1 species
UACGGAGGGUGCGAGCGUUGUCCGGAAUCAUUGGGCGUAAAGGGCGCGUAGGUGGCCCGGUCAGUCUUUGGUGAAAGCGCGGGGCUCAACCCUGCGUCGGCCAGGGAUACUGCCGCGGCUCGAGCACUGUAGAGGCAGGCGGAAUUCCGGGUGUAGCGGUGGAAUGCGUAGAGAUCCGGAAGAACACCGGUGGCGAAGGCGGCUUGCUGGGCUUGGUCUGGACGCUGAGGCGCGAAAGCGUGGGAGCGAACAGG